GACGAACGCUGGCGGCGUGCUUAACACAUGCAAGUCGAACGGAAAGGCCCUGCUUUUGUGGGGUGCUCGAGUAGCGAACGGGUGAGUAACACGUGAGUAACCUGCCCUUGACUUUGGGAUAACUUCAGGAAACUGGGGCUAAUACCGGAUAGGAGCUCCUGCUGCAUGGUGGGGGUUGGAAAGUUUCGGCGGUUGGGGAUGGACUCGCGGCUUAUCAGCUUGUUGGUGGGGUAGUGGCUUACCAAGGCUUUGACGGGUAGCCGGCCUGAGAGGGUGACCGGCCACAUUGGGACUGAGAUACGGCCCAGACUCCUACGGGAGGCAGCAGUGGGGAAUAUUGCACAAUGGGCGGAAGCCUGAUGCAGCAACGCCGCGUGCGGGAUGACGGCCUUCGGGUUGUAAACCGCUUUCGCCUGUGACGAAGCGUGAGUGACGGUAAUGGGUAAAGAAGCACCGGCUAACUACGUGCCAGCAGCCGCGGUGAUACGUAGGGUGCGAGCGUUGUCCGGAUUUAUUGGGCGUAAAGGGCUCGUAGGUGGUUGAUCGCGUCGGAAGUGUAAUCUUGGGGCUUAACCCUGAGCGUGCUUUCGAUACGGGUUGACUUGAGGAAGGUAGGGGAGAAUGGAAUUCCUGGUGAGCGGUGGAAUGCGCAGAUAUCAGGAGGAACACCAGUGGCGAAGGCGGUUCUCUGGGCCUUUCCUGACGCUGAGGAGCGAAAGCGUGGGGAGCGAACAGGCUUAGAUACCCUGGUAGUCCACGCUGUAAACGGUGGGUACUAGGUGUGGGGUCCAUUCCACGGGUUCCGUGCCGUAGCUAACGCUUUAAGUACCCCGCCUGGGGAGUACGGCCGCAAGGCUAAAACUCAAAGGAAUUGACGGGGCCCCGCACAAGCGGCGGAGCAUGCGGAUUAAUUCGAUGCAACGCGUAGAACCUUACCUGGGUUUGACAUGGAUCGGGAGCGCUCAGAGAUGGGUGUGCCUCUUUUGGGGUCGGUUCACAGGAGGUGCAUGGCUGUCGUCAGCUCGUGUCGUGAGAUGUUGGGUUAAGUCCCGCAACGAGCGCAACCCUUGUUCACUGUUGCCAGCACGUUAUGGUGGGGACUCAGUGGAGACCGCCGGGGUCAACUCGGAGGAAGGUGGGGAUGACGUCAAGUCAUCAUGCCCCUUAUGUCCAGGGCUUCACGCAUGCUACAAUGGCUGGUACAGAGAGUGGCGAGCCUGUGAGGGUGAGCGAAUCCCGGAAAGCCGGUCUCAGUUCGGAUUGGGGUCUGCAACUCGACCUCAUGAAGUCGGAGUCGCUAGUAAUCGCAGAUCAGCAACGCUGCGGUGAAUACGUUCCCGGG
rnacentral:rRNA from 1 species